GUGCACGCUGGCGGUAGGCCUAACCCAUGCAAGUCGGACGGCAGCACAGUAAGAGCUUGCUCUUACGGGUGGCGCGUGGCGGACGGGUGAGGAAUACAUCGGAAUCUACUUUUGCGUGGGGGAUAACGUAGGGAAACUUACGCUAAUACCGCAUACGACCUACGGGUGAAAGCAGGGGAUCUUCGGACCUUGCGCGAUUGAAUGAGCCGAUGUCGGAUUAGCUAGUUGGCGGGGUAAAGGCCCACCAAGGCGACGAUCCGUAGCUGGUCUGAGAGGAUGAUCAGCCACACUGGAACUGAGCCACGGUCCAGACUCCUACGGGAGGCAGCAGUGGGGAAUAUUGGACAAUGGGCGCAAGCCUGAUCCAGCCAUACCGCGUGGGUGAAGAAGGCCUUCGGGUUGUAAAGCCCUUUUGUUGGGAAAGAAAAGCAGCAGGUUAAUACCCCGCUGUUCUGACGGUACCCAAAGAAUAAGCACCGGCUAACUUCGUG
rnacentral:rRNA from 1 species